CACUGAUAUUUGCUUACUGUUAUCACAGUAAUAACAUAAACAUUUGGCAUUUCAAAUUUCAACAUCUAUACUUUUUUUUGGCAAGACAUGAAGUAUUUCAUUACCCCAUUAAAAUAUAAAAGAAACAAAAGUAACAAUAAAAAAAUGUAACAGACAUCAACUAAAUUUUAUAAAAAAAAGCAACACAAUAUUAAACAACAUAUUAAAUCAAUAAACUGAAAAUACAUUCAAAGGUCAAGGUGAACAUCUGGUAAAAUACAAUGGAGUGACAAAGCUGAUCCCCCUGAGUACAGUCGUAAAUGAAUCAGUUACAUCAUCCAGUAUUUACAGUACCAUCGCUCCCUUUACAUGAAAAGAAAAGUAAAAAAAUAAAAAUAAAAAAAAGUUCUUGUGAAACCAUCUUAAAAAUGGGUUCACAACUUUACGGAGACUUAACCACGGCUGGCUCAAAGCAAUAGGGGUUGUAGCACAGCAGCAGCGGAAGAAAGAUCGAUAAGCCAUCUCGAAGCUAGAAUAUGAGAUAUCUGUACAGACUAAGUAUUCUCUACCAGUAAAAUAUAUUUGCUAUUAGAGAAGAUUUGUAAUGAUGUUCACUGGUGUUUUCAACCAUAUGAAUUAAUGCAAAUAAACACGGAUAUUAUACAACAUCAUUCUGAAUAAUUACAUAUUAAUCAAACUGACAAUAUAUGUAUAUACACAAUGGCACACUAUCAGGGAAAUGUACAAAGUUAUAAAAGUUGAACUUUUCCAUCUUUCUCUCCUAUAAAUCAUUUCUAUAAAUAACUUCCCUUUUAAUAAACUCCAUAAAUGUGAUAAAAGUAUGAUGCAACAUUUUCUGAGCCAUCAGGUAAAAGCCAAAAUCCCCAACCUGACUAUCAAAUUGGCUCAAAAUGUUCAAUAUCUUUUUAAACUUACUACAACUAUUUAGUUGUUUAGGUGAAGUGAACCUUUUUGUGCAAAGAUUUAUGUAAGCAUCCCUUGGCCCUCAAAAGGUUAGUAAUGUAAUGUAUUAACAAUUAAGAGCAAAGUUUGUUACCGACUCACCAUAACAUAACUGACAGCAGCUUUUUAUGAAGACUGUUCUGGUGUUUGGUCCAUUUGAGAACAUGCUACUAUGAGAAGGACUAUUUUGGGAGCAUCACUAAGGGGUUUAAAUGUAGAACCCCAAGCAAUGCUUCUUAAAACUAGGUCACCUUUAACCUUUAAAAUGUUGGUAAGUCUUAUCUAACCGAUUGUAAAUUAACAGCUGCAAUGGUACUGCUCCAGGAAAAGUGAAUUAGACUGUAAUGUUUUAAUAUGAUAGAUAAAAUAUCUGUAAACAUAUAUAUAUGACAACAUUCUUUAAAUUACUCCAUAAAGGUAAUGAUGAUGUCAUUCCAGAUUAUUUCAACUGUCCUAUUUAAACUGGAAUAGUCAGUUAUCUAAAAUCUUAAUGAUUUUCCAAGAGCCGCAUCAUUCAACAAUUUCACCAGGGUUCAUGACUUUCACAUUUAAAGAUCAAAAUCAAGAUGACAUUUGGUGUGUAUUGGUCAUAUUGGUGUAUAGAAAUACCUAGUUUAAUAUUUUUAGAGAUGGAUUUGUCUAAAUUUGUGAAAUGUCUA
rnacentral:lncRNA from 1 species